CGGAGGCCGGGCGGUGUGAGCAGGCCGUGGGCAGGAGCCGUGUCCCGGAGGCCGGGCGGUGUGAGCAGGCCGUGGGCAGGAGCCGUGUCCCGGAGCUGCGGGCUGCAGGUGGCAGCAGCGCCCUUCCCUUCCCUGCGGCAGCCGGGGAUGCUGCGGCACAGCCCGGCCACAGCGCCAGGAGCACAUCGGCACCUCGCAGCCACACUCUGCGCCUCCCCCGCCUCCUCCCCGACAGGAAUCCGGAUCCUUGGAGAGAGGGGAGGGGAAGAAAAGCCUUUCUGCAUCGCGCAGUGCCAGACAGAGCCCGAAUGAGGAUCACAGGAUGGAGACUGGCAAAGUCCGGAGCCUCUGUAGCAGGAUGGGAAGGCAGAGUCUUACAGGAGGAAUGCCAAAGGAACAGUGGAGGAGGAACCCAGAACUCCAGUAAUCCCCCUCCUUCCCUCCGUGCCAAUUAGGACCUCAUCCUGCUCCCCUCACUCACAUGGAACAGCCCCUUGGGCACCCGUGCCAGCAGCACCUUCCUUUGGGAGCCCAUUCCUGCCUUCCAGUGGCUCGGAGGAACAGAAAAGUCCUGGGGGCUUUCCUGUGUGCUGGGAAUGUGCCAGCCGCCUGUUCCAGGGAAUUAGCACCUAAUUUCAGGAGAUUCCCUCUUCAUUGCUUUCUGUCUCUCACCUC
rnacentral:lncRNA from 1 species